ACGAACGCUGGCGGCGUGCUUAACACAUGCAAGUCGAACGGUGAAGCGCCUUCCUUUUUGGUGGGUGUGGAUGAGUGGCGAACGGGUGAGUAACACGUGAGUAACCUGCCCCCUUCUUCUGGAUAACCGCAUGAAAGUGUGGCUAAUACGGGAUAUUCUGGGUCUGUCGCAUGAUGGGUCUGGGAAAGAUAUUGUUUCGGUGGGGGAUGGGCUCGCGGCCUAUCAGCUUGUUGGUGGGGUGAUGGCCUACCAAGGCGGUGACGGGUAGCCGGCCUGAGAGGGUGGACGGUCACACUGGGACUGAGACACGGCCGAGACUCCUACGGGAGGCAGCAGUGGGGAAUAUUGCACAAUGGGCGCAAGCCUGAUGCAGCGACGCCGCGUGAGGGAUGGAGGCCUGCGGGUUGUGAACCUCUUUCGCCAGUGAAGCAGGCCUGCCUCGUUUGUGGGUGGGUUGACGGUAGCUGGAUAAGAAGCGCCGGCUAACUACGUG
rnacentral:rRNA from 1 species